rnacentral:rRNA from 1 species
UACGGAGGGAGCUAGCGUUGUUCGGAAUUACUGGGCGUAAAGCGCACGUAGGCGGCUUUGUAAGUUAGAGGUGAAAGCCCGGGGCUCAACUCCGGAACUGCCUUUAAGACUGCAUCGCUUGAAUCCAGGAGAGGUGAGUGGAAUUCCGAGUGUAGAGGUGAAAUUCGUAGAUAUUCGGAAGAACACCAGUGGCGAAGGCGGCUCACUGGACUGGUAUUGACGCUGAGGUGCGAAAGCGUGGGAAGCAAACAGG